rnacentral:rRNA from 1 species
ACUACGGGUGGCAGCAGUGGGGAAUAUUGCACAAUGGGGGAAACCCUGAUGCAGCGACGCCGCGUGAGUGAAGAAGUAUUUCGGUACGUAAAGCUCUAUCAGCAGGGAAGAAAAUGACGGUACCUGACUAAGAAGCCCCGGCUAACUACGUGCCAGCAGCCGCGGUAAUACGUAGGGGGCAAGCGUUAUCCGGAUUUACGGGGGGUACAGGGAGCGUAGACGGCAGCGCAAGUCUGAAGUGAAAUCCAAUGGCUUAACCAUGGAACUGCUUUGGAAACUGGGCAGCUGGAGUGCAGGAGAGGUAAGCGGAAUUCCUAGUGUAGCGGUGAAAUGCGUAGAUAUUAGGAGGAACACCAGUGGCGAAGGCGGCUUACUGGACUGUAACUGACGUUGAGGCUCGAAAGCGUGGGGAGCAAACAGGAUUAGAUACCCCGGUAGUC